rnacentral:misc_RNA from 1 species
GUUAUUGCCAGGGUUUUUAUUUUAUACUUUAAGCUCUUAAUUUAUUUUUUAUGUUUUUUAAAUAUUCAUUUUUUUGAAUAUUUAAAAAACAUAAAAAAUAAAUUAGAUAUUGACAUAGAUUAAACAAAAAUAUAUAUUAUUCUAUGUUGCAUAAACAAAUUGGCAAAGUAGAGAUGGAAGAUAAAAAUAUGGUCAAAGUAAUA